rnacentral:tRNA from 1 species
AUUUAUAUAGUUUAAAAAAAACAUUACACUUUCAUUGUAAAAUUAGUAUCAACCUUAUAAAUA